ACGAACGCUGGCGGCGUGCUUAACACAUGCAAGUCGAACGAGAAUCUGUGGAUCGAGGAUUCGUCCAAGUGAAGCAGAGGACAGUGGCGGACGGGUGAGUAACGCGUGAGGAACCUGCCUUUCAGAGGGGGACAACAGUUGGAAACGACUGCUAAUACCGCAUGAUACGUUUUAGGGGCAUCCCUGAGACGUCAAAGAUUUAUCGCUGAAAGAUGGCCUCGCGUCUGAUUAGCUAGUUGGUGAGGUAACGGCCCACCAAGGCGACGAUCAGUAGCCGGACUGAGAGGUUGACCGGCCACAUUGGGACUGAGAUACGGCCCAGACUCCUACGGGAGGCAGCAGUGGGGAAUAUUGGGCAAUGGGCGCAAGCCUGACCCAGCAACGCCGCGUGAAGGAAGAAGGCUUUCGGGUUGUAAACUUCUUUUAAGAGGGAAGAGCAGAAGACUGUACCUCUAGAAUAAGCCACGGCUAACUACGUG
rnacentral:rRNA from 1 species